UACGGAGGGUGCGAGCGUUGUCCGGAUUUAUUGGGCGUAAAGAGCCCGCAGGCGGCUUGGCAAGUUUGAGGUGAAAUCUCCCGGCUUAACUGGGAGGGGGCCUCGAAAACUGCCAGGCUUGAGGCAUGGAGAGGGAUGCGGAAUUCCCGGUGUAGUGGUGAAAUGCGUAGAUAUUGGGAAGAACACCGGUGGCGAAGGCGGCUAUCUGGACCGUAACUGACGCUGAGGCGCGAAAGCGUGGGGAGCAAACAGG
rnacentral:rRNA from 1 species